GCUGGUGUAGUUUAGUCUGGCUAUAAAACCGAAAGGUUUAGUUUACGCCGUGCUCAUAACGCGGAGGCUCGCGAGUUCAAAUCUCGCCACCAGCA
rnacentral:tRNA from 1 species